GGCUUAGAACUAACGCUGGCAGUGCGUCUUAAGCAUGCAAGUCAAACGGGAUGUAGCAAUACAUCUAGUGGCGAACGGGUGAGUAACGCGUGGAUGAUCUACCUAUGAGAUGGGGAUAACUACUAGAAAUAGUAGCUAAUACCGAAUAAAGUCAAUUAAUUUGUUAAUUGAUGAAAGGAAGCCUUUAAAGCUUCGCUUGUAGAUGAGUCUGCGUCUUAUUAGCUAGUUGGUAGGGUAAAUGCCUACCAAGGCGAUGAUAAGUAACCGGCCUGAGAGGGUGAACGGUCACACUGGAACUGAGAUACGGUCCAGACUCCUACUGGAGGCAGCAGCUAAGAAUCUUCCGCAAUGGGCGAAAGCCUGACGGGGCGACACUGCGUGAAUGAAGAAGGUCGAAAGAUUGUAAAAUUCUUUUAUAAAUGAGGAAUAAGCUUUGUAGGAAAUGACAAAGUGAUGACGUUAAUUUAUGAAUAAGCCCCGGCUAAUUACGUGCCAGCAGCCGCGGUAAUACGUAAGGGGCGAGCGUUGUUCGGGAUUAUUGGGCGUAAAGGG
rnacentral:rRNA from 1 species